rnacentral:rRNA from 1 species
AGGAUGAACGCUAGCGACAGGCCUAACACAUGCAAGUCGAGGGGCAGCGAAGAGGUAGCAAUACCUUUGUCGGCGACCGGCGCACGGGUGAGUAACACGUAUGCAAUUCACCUGUAACAGGGGGAUAACCCGGAGAAAUCCGGACUAAUACCCCAUAAUAUGGGCGCUCCGCAUGGAGAGCCCACUAAAGAGAGCAAUUUUGGUUACAGACGAGCAUGCGCUCCAUUAGCCAGUUGGCGGGGUAACGGCCCACCAAAGCGACGAUGGAUAGGGGUUCUGAGAGGAAGGUCCCCCACAUUGGAACUGAGACACGGUCCAAACUCCUACGGGAGGCAGCAGUGAGGAAUAUUGGUCAACGGUCGGCAGACUGAACCAGCCAAGUCGCGUGAGGGAAGACGGCCCUACGGGUUGUAAACCUCUUUUGUCGGAGAGUAAAGUACGCUACGUGUAGUGUAUCGCAAGUAUCCGAAGAAAAAGCAUCGGCUAACUCCGUGCCAGCAGCCGCGGUAAUACGGAGGAUGCAAGCGUUAUCCGGAUUUAUUGGGUUUAAAGGGUGCGUAGGCGGCACGCCAAGUCAGCGGUGAAAUUUCCGGGCUCAACCCGGAGUGUGCCGUUGAAACUGGCGAGCUAGAGUACACAAGAGGCAGGCGGAAUGCGUGGUGUAGCGGUGAAAUGCAUAGAUAUCACGCAGAACCCCGAUUGCGAAGGCAGCCUGCUAGGGUGAAACAGACGCUGAGGCACGAAAGCGUGGGUAUCGAACAGGAUUAGAUACCCUGGUAGUCCACGCAGUAAACGAUGAAUACUAACUGUUUGCGAUACAAUGUAAGCGGUACAGCGAAAGCGUUAAGUAUUCCACCUGGGGAGUACGCCGGCAACGGUGCAACUCAAAGGAAUUGACG